rnacentral:rRNA from 1 species
CCAGCGGAGGGAUCAUUACCGAGUUUACAACUCCCAAACCCCUGUGAACAUACCUUAAUGUUGCCUCGGCGGAUCAGCCCGCGCCCCGUAAAACGGGACGGCCCGCCAGAGGACCCAAACUCUAAUGUUUCUUAUUGUAACUUCUGAGUAAAACAAACAAAUAAAUCAAAACUUUCAACAACGGAUCUCUUGGUUCUGGCAUCGAUGAAGAACGCAGCAAAAUGCGAUAAGUAAUGUGAAUUGCAGAAUUCAGUGAAUCAUCGAAUCUUUGAACGCACAUUGCGCCCGCUGGUAUUCCGGCGGGCAUGCCUGUUCGAGCGUCAUUUCAACCCUCAAGCCCCCGGGUUUGGUGUUGGGGAUCGGCUCUGCCCUUCUGGGCGGUGCCGCCCCCGAAAUACAUUGGCGGUCUCGCUGCAGCCUCCAUUGCGUAGUAGCUAACACCUCGCAACUGGAACGCGGCGCGGCCAUGCCGUAAAACCCCAACUUCUGAAUGUUGACCUCGGAUCAGGUAGGAAUACCCGCUGAACUUAAGCAUAUCAAUAA